rnacentral:rRNA from 1 species
CUGCGUGAGCAGGGCUGCGUGUCAAGUCUAUGGACUCGACUCUUGCACAUCUACGUCUUAGGUUUGCGCCAAUUCGUGGUAAGCUUGGGUCAUAGAGACUCAUAGGUGUUAUAAAGACUCGCUGGUGUUUGUCUCCUUGAGGCAUACGGCUUUAACCAAAACUCUCAAAGUUUGACCUCAAAUCAGGUAGGAGUACCCGCUGAACUUAAGCAUAUCAAUAAGCGGAGGAAAAGAAACCAACCGGGAUUGCCUUAGUAACGGCGAGUGAAGCGGCAAAAGCUCAAAUUUGAAAUCUGGCGUCUUCGACGUCCGAGUUGUAAUUUGAAGAAGGCGACUUUGUAGCUGGUCCUUGUCUAUGUUCCUUGGAACAGGACGUCAUAGAGGGUGAGAAUCCCGUGUGGCGAGGAUCCCAGUUAUUUGUAAAGUGCUUUCGACGAGUCGAGUUGUUUGGGAAUGCAGCUCUAAGUGGGUGGUAAAUUCCAUCUAAAGCUAAAUAUUGGCGAGAGACCGAUAGCGAACAAGUACAGUGAUGGAAAGAUGAAAAGAACUUUGAAAAGAGAGUGAAAAAGUACGUGAAAUUGUUGAAAGGGAAGGGCAUUUGAUCAGACAUGGCGUUUGCUUCGGCUUUCGCUGGGCCAGCAUCAGUUUUAGCGGUUGGAUAAAUCCUCGGGAAUGUGGCUCUGCUUCGGUAGAGUGUUAUAGCCCGUGGGAAUACAGCCAGCUGGGACUGAGGAUUGCGACUUUUGUCAAGGAUGCUGGCGUAAUGGUUAAAUGCCGCCCGUCUUGAAACACGGACCAAGGAGUCUAACGUCUAUGCGAGUGUUUGGGUGUAAAACCCGUACGCGUAAUGAAAGUGAACGUAGGUG